ensembl:lncRNA
AGAAGAGGAAAAAGGAAGUGUCCCUCUUUUCCCCUCGGCUCCUGCUCCAGCGGCUCGAUGUGAUUCACCAGCAAGGAGGGACGCCAAUAAGGCGUCCGAUAAGAUAAGUCCCAUAAAAUAUAUAGAUGUAUGGUAAUUGAGACUGAGCUAACAAAUGAGAAUCCUAUUCAUUGGCCAAGCAGCUUUGUAACUAAUACAAGUCUCUCUGUGUAUUCAUUUGGGCCUAACUCGGGCGGGCGGCUGGUGUAAAGCUCACACGUGGCUGUGGGGCUCAGGCGGCUUUUGGCAAAAAGAUUUAUCGUAACACUGUCAUUCUUCAGAGCUACAGUGACAAAGUGUGUUUGGAUGGCUUGGUGGUUAAGAACACUGACUGCUUUUCCCUUGGACUCUGGUUCAGUUCCCAGCACCCACAUGACAUCUAACAACUGUCUAUAACCCCAAGAUCUGACACCUUCACAGAUACAUGCAUGCAGGCAAAACACCAAUGUAAAUAACAUAAAAAUACACUAUUUUUAAAAAAAGAAAACAAGGUAAAAAUGUCUUCUAACAGCCAAAUUCUGAGGGAGGGGGACUGUUUUUUAAGUACUUUUCUAAAAUAAAUGCCAAAAGAGGUCUACAGGCCAAAGGAAAAAUAUCCCACAUGAAAGUGUGGGAACUGAGGGAAAAUGAUCAAUAAUAAAAAGGAUAAAAUAUGGACAAAUUCAAGUUUUAUUGAAUAAAAUAAUACUGAUUUAUUGAAGCUUCACUAUAUAUCAUAGAAGGAGUUUAAAUCUGUGGCUCUAAGAGGGUCUGGAAAACCACACUAUCAUUUUAGGAUAGAUCUAACAUGACAAAGACACUACUUGGACAAGGACACGGUGGCGGCUGCACUUCUAUUCUUUCACUUUAAUUAGAUGUAUAUUGACUGGAAUUGAUAGGGCAGGCUGUUGGUUUGAGCUUUUAUCCUUCAGUGUAUACAACUGAGACUAUUAAUUUUUCUCUUGGCUCUAUCGUGAGUUUUAAUACAGCCUACCUUUGUCAUUAUUCAUUUCAAGACAUUUUAUAAUUUUCUGAUUUUUUUUUUUUUUUGGUUUUUCAAGAUAGGGUUUCUCUGUGUAGCUUUGGAGCCUAUCCUAGCAUUCGCUCUGGAGACCAGGCUGGCCUCAAACUCACAGAGAUCUGCCUGCCUCUGCCUCCUGAGUGCUGGGAUUAAAGGUGUGCGCAACCAACACACGGCAAUUUUCAGAUUUUUAAAUAUAUUAUAUUUAGACUUUUUAUUUGUUCUGCACAGGAUUCUCACAACCUAAAACAGAGGGUGAUUUCACUUCUGCUAAAGAGAUGCAUAUUCAGGGUGUGAAUUUGUUUUCCCUGCCCUUUGCUUCUGAGUUCUUACAAAAUGUCUACUUCACCAGCACAGGACCUGCAUAUUAUCAUUUCAGAGAAGAAUGGACUGUUUUGUGGAUGGUCUAAGAGUAAACUCAUGACAGCAACAGUUUCUCAAGCCUUGGUGCUUGAAGUCCCCAGUAUUGCUAAAUGUCACAGCUGAAUCACCAGUUCAGUCUGUGAGGUUAGGAUUUCACCCUUAGUAAGGCAGUCUCCACAGGGAACCAAAAAAACUCAACUAUUGUAUUUUAUCUGAAAAAUCCAAGGGGAUCAUAACCAAUACAGUAACAACACCCCCACUGCCAUCACUCCUCAUGACCUCCUCUGUGACUUUGUAAUCCUUCCUCAUCCCCACAGCACAAGAGAUCUAUAUUCCUACUUGAUCAGAGAAUUGAAACACAGACCUUUUCAACUCCAAACUAUACCCAGGGAUGGGGCCAGCAGGCAAAAAGGAGGGCUGCCAUCUUUGCAAGAAUAGUUACCCCUGAUCAUUAGACAGAGGUGUAAUUGUGUAGAAAUAACAUUGGGCAUCUCCAGGUACCUCUUGGUUGUAAAAAGCAAAGCAAGCAUGACUUGAAUAGAGCAGGAAGACAAAGAAAAAAAGACUCCUGAGUAAAUUUCAGUUGGGCUGUGCUGGGCUUUGGAGAGAUCUGGAAUUAUGUGGUAGAGGAAGGCAGGACUAUCUGGUUCAUGCUGGCACUAUCUGCAUGGAUAGGGUAUUGGCUCUACUGAGUUCUGAGUUCCUCCAGGAAGACAGAUCCAUCACAGCUCCAGAGUAGCUGUUGCUUGAAUGCAUGAAGAAGAGGGUUUGAGCAGCAUAAAAGGUCAUCUGUGACAGCCACACUGCAACUGCUGGAUGCUACACACCUAGACACCAGGUUCCAAAGAAAGUCCUAUCACUCUAGCUUCCAAGGGUUCUGUGAGCAACAUCUGCAAAGAGCCUCCUCCCAGAAGAAUACACCUUUCUGGGGUGAGCCACAUCCUACAGCUGCAAGCAUUAAAAAGUUUCAACCAGUUCAACCCACCAAGGGACUCUCUGAUAGACCAUAUUUGCUUAGACUACCUCAGUGGAUUGCCCAAGGCAUACUUGUUCUGCAAUUAUCUUUCUUCCUUUGCCUGACUCUGCUUCCAUCCCUCCCUUCCAUAGGCAGUGGUUCCUUGGGAGUCACCAAAGCUUGCCUGGUCACCAAAGUAACUCUCAUCUGCUCCUGAGGGAUUAGCCUGUGAAGAUCAUUAAAAACCACCAGAGGGGGGAAAAACAACAAACAAGCAAAAAACACCAAAGCCUCUGCAACAAAUCUAACAAUAGAUAUAGUGCUUCACAACAAAUAAAUGCAAAAGCUUAAUGAAAGAAGCAGAAGAAUAAUUUCUGUUUCGUGGAUUGAAAAUACAUUGUGUUUGUAUGUCCACUUCCCUCCGAGUUAAUCUCUAAAUAUAUUGCAGUUAUAAAGCUGAUUGUGACAUUUAUGUAGAAAAUCAAAAGUACAAAAGCAUCCCCUCCUGUACCUGGAGCAUAAGUUAUAGGAAAACAUAAGCUAUAAAGUCAAGAAACCAAGAGAAUAUAGUGGAAAUGGAGACACACACUGAAGUCAAACAGCACAGAGCUCAGAACACAUGCGUGGACAGCUGAUGCAUGACAAGGUGGUCAUGAAGAGCAGGAGCAGAAGGAAUGAUCAUCUGGACAUGCUUGGAAUCAGCUGUUUCCAUACAGAAAAGGGGGGCAAUUUAAUAGUGAUCUCAUCACACACCCAAAAUACUAUUCUAGGUGGACUACAGAGUGAAGUGUACAGAUUAGAGAGAAAAUGUUCCAGUAGGUAAUCUAGAAUCUGUCCAUAAAUUUGGAACAGGCAGAUGGGGCCUGGGUUGUGUAAGAAAGGGAGUGGAACUGAACCUGAGUCUGGGACCAAGCCAGCACUUAAGUAUUCCUCUGUGGUCCCUGCUUCACUCUCCUGCUUUGAAGUCCCUCAGCGAUGAAUGACAACAUACAAACUAAAAUAACUCUUUCCUCCCCGAAUUAUUUUUGGUCAUGGAGUUUAUCAUAGCAACAUAAAGCAAACUAGUACAGGCAGUGACAUAUCACAGCUGCACACAUACACAUACACACCCCACUACCACCAGCAACAACAACAACAGACACAUGGAGCCUAAGAAUCAUAAACCCAUUUAUAGCAGAACAGACCAAAGAUGUUAUUCAUAUGAUUGAAUACUCUCUAUGAUGGAGAAUGGCAACUAAUGGCACUUAGAAUUAAAUCAUGUAUCCUAGAUACUUAACUUUAGAUAAAAUGACAGCUGAAGUGCCCACUGUAUGGUUCCAUUUAUAUGCAUUUUGAAAUUCUAUGUAAAGAGAAGAUAGGAGCAGAGAAACUGUGGCCCUGGGGAGUACAAGAUGAGGCCUUGGGAUACUGACAAAUGCUUUACUUCUUGACACAUGUAGAGGAGUAUGAGGAUGUUUGUUCCAUGAUCAUCUAUUGAACUGUGUGUCUAUCAUCUGUGUAUUUACCUUAAAAGUAAUCCUGGACCUAUGGAGCUGAAGAGUUGGCUCAGCAGUUUAGAGCACUGGCUGCUGCAGAGAACCUGGAUUCGGUUCCCAGUACCCACAUGGCAGCUCACAGCCAUCUGAGACUCCAGUUCAGUGCUUUGAAUGCUCUCUCUGUUCUGCCCCCUGUGGGCACCUGCAUGCACACAGUGCACAUGCAUACAGUCGGGCAUGCAAGCAGUCUGUCAUGCAUACAUAUAAAAGUUUAAUACAAUUAUAAAAAUUAAACUAAGCUAUGGGCCCAGUAUAAGGAAAAUGUACUGUUUGCCUCCUGAAUUAAUGUGUGGACUUCGCUUGCUGUGCAUCAAAUGGGAGACUUGAGCCCAGGGAUUCAAUGUAGAUCCCACACACCCUAAGACAAAUAGUCCUUUGGCAUUUCCACAGUUGCUCACAUGCCUCUCUCACAUCAUGGAGAUUUCCUGACUCUCGGAGGUGACAGACCCAAACACAAACUUUUAUUUCUAAGAUAGCAUCCUGUACAGCACCUUGUUUUUACUUUGGCUACUAAACUAAAAUAGUCACUGGCUUCCUCGGUUUUAAGCAAAGAGGUUUUCAGUUCUACGUUUAUGAGUUUCUCAUUUUUUAAGUGGAGCAGCUUGGCCAACACCACAAACCUAAAUAUUUUUGCUAGUACAAGUACCAUCCGCUGCAGACGAGUUCUUUACAGGAGGAAACCUGGCUUCUCCCUGCUUGGGUCUGGCCAAAUAGACAUCCCGCCAGGCUUACCAUGAAAGAUCAGCUUUCCGACAACAGCAUGAGGAAUAUUUCCCAUCCAGGGCUGAAUGACUCCUGACAGGAGGUUGCAGGUUUGGCAAGACACCACAAGGACCAGGCCAAGCCAAACAUGGAGUGGAAAACUCUGUUCAGCACUGUACCAUAGACGGUUCCUUCCCUGGGGCUGGCUCACAUGUGUGACUGUCUCUGGUUAGUAACAAGACACCAGCACAUGGUGUACAGAGGAUGUACCUCAGCCAGCCUCCUGUAACCACACAAGCUGUGCUGCUGAAGUUACCAGCAAGUGCCCUAAACUACUUGACACUGCAUUCCAGAAUCCCACAGUUCAGCCAAGGUCCUCCCAUGACUCUCUCCCGGCUUCAAUUUCUAUUUGCCAGCCUACUGUUGCAGUGUUUCAUGAUGUCACCCAAACUACAGGAAAUGGGGGCUGCAGGAAGGAGAUGUACUCCCAAGGACCUGCCUCCAGUGACCUACUUCCUGAAGGGCAUGGCUUUGGAAACAAUUAUCCUACCAUCCUUAGCUGCCACAGUAGUAAACGUCACAAACAUCUAUCAAGAGCAGUUUGUGUGCCAGGCUGUCUGUCUGUUUCCCUCCUUCCUUUGGAAGCAGUCUUGGAGGGUGAAGGUACUGGAAGGAUGGGUCUGGGCAACACAUCCUGCAAGUGACUUGGAGAAUGAGCCUCGGGAUCACUGGGAAAGAAGCCAUUCGUCCUCCCUGCUCAAUGCUCAGCAGUCAUCUCUCAGAAUAUCACAGCAACCCAGAAGCAGAGGAAGAAAAAUAGUAUCAAGUAUCCAAGGCAAGAUUUGUCUCCCAGCAGACAUCAGAGUCACAUACUUCCUUCAGCUGGGCCCCACCUCCUUCCUUUCACCACCUCCUGCUAGGCACCCAUCAAGAGAUUAAUCCAUUGAUUAGGCCAAAGGCUCAGGAUCAGUGUCUCUGGCAAAGCCAUUAGAGACACACUCAAAGUUACUUCACUAAUCAAUCCACUAAGCAUGUCUCAAGUAGACAACUGAGAAUAACUGUCACACCAAUUAAAAAGUUGGGUUGUUUUAUUGUACAAGAUUUAUCUUUAUUAUUUUUAAUUUUUCAUAUGUGUGUUUCUACAUGGGUAUGUGCACACAUGUGCAGGUGCCUGCAGAGUCCGAAGGGCUCAUAUCCCCCUGGAACUGGUGUCAC